rnacentral:rRNA from 1 species
AGUGAACGCUGGCGGUAGGCCUAACACAUGCAAGUCGAACGGCAGCACAGUAAGAGCUUGCUCUUACGGGUGGCGAGUGGCGGACGGGUGAGGAAUACAUCGGAAUCUACUUUUUCGUGGGGGAUAACGUAGGGAAACUUACGCUAAUACCGCAUACGACCUACGGGUGAAAGCAGGGGAUCUUCGGACCUUGCGCGAUUGAAUGAGCCGAUGUCGGAUUAGCUAGUUGGCGGGGUAAAGGCCCACCAAGGCGACGAUCCGUAGCUGGUCUGAGAGGAUGACAAAGCAAAACGGGAAAUGAGACAGGUCCAAGACUCAAGAGGGAGGGGACAGUGGGAAAAGUGGGAAAAGGGGGGCAAGCCUGACCAAGCCAUACCGCGUGGGGGAAAAAGGCUUUGGGGUUUAAAACCCUUUUUGUGGGAAAAAAAAAGAAGGAGUUUAAUACCCCGUGGUUCGGAGGGAACCAAAGAAAUAAGAACCGGAAAAUUUGGUG